AGAUUGAACGCUGGCGGCAGGCCUAACACAUGCAAGUCGAGCGGUAGAGAGGUGCUUGCACCUCUUGAGAGCGGCGGACGGGUGAGUAAUGCCUAGGAAUCUGCCUAGUGGUGGGGGAUAACGUUCGGAAACGGACGCUAAUACCGCAUACGUCCUACGGGAGAAAGCGGGGGACCUUCGGGCCUCGCGCCAUUAGAUGAGCCUAGGUCGGAUUAGCUAGUUGGUGAGGUAAUGGCUCACCAAGGCGACGAUCCGUAACUGGUCUGAGAGGAUGAUCAGUCACACUGGAACUGAGACACGGUCCAGACUCCUACGGGAGGCAGCAGUGGGAAUAUUGGACAAUGGGGGAAACCCUGAUCCAGCCAUCCCGCGUGUGCGAUGAAGGCCUUCGGGUUGUAAAGCAACUUUUGGCAGGGAAGAAACGGCGUACCCGUUAAGUACGGGCGUCACUGACGGUACCUGCAGAAUAGCACCGGCUAACUACGUGACCAGCAGCCGA
rnacentral:rRNA from 1 species